AUACGUAGGGGGCAAGCGUUAUCCGGAUUUACUGGGUGUAAAGGGAGCGCAGACGGCUAUGUAAGUCUGAAGUGAAAGCCCGCGGCUCAACCGCGGGACUGCUUUGGAAACUAUGUAGCUUGAGUGUCGGAGAGGUAAGCGGAAUUCCAAGUGUAGCGGUGAAAUGCGUAGAUAUUUGGAAGAACACCGGUGGCGAAGGCGGCUUACUGGACGAUAACUGACGUUGAGGCUCGAAGGCGUGGGGAGCAAACAGGAUUAGAUACCCUGGUAGUCCACGCGGUAAACGAUGAAUACUAGGUGUUGGGAGACAAUAGUUUCUCGGUGCCGCAGCAAACGCAAUAAGUAUUCCACCUGGGGAGUACGUUCGCAAGAAUGAAACUUAAAGGAAUUGACGGG
rnacentral:rRNA from 1 species